GAGUUUGAUCCUGGCUCAGGAUGAACGCUGGCGGCGUGCUUAACACAUGCAAGUCGAACGGAACACCCUUGAAGGAGUUUUCGGACAACUGAGAGGACUGUUUAGUGGCGGACGGGUGAGUAACGCGUGAGUAACCUGCCUUGGAGUGGGGAAUAACACAAAGAAAUUUGUGCUAAUACCGCAUAAUGCAGCUGAGUCGCAUGGCUCUGGCUGCCAAAGAUUUAUCGCUCUGAGAUGGACUCGCGUCUGAUUAGCUAGUUGGCGGGGUAACGGCCCACCAAGGCGACGAUCAGUAGCCGGACUGAGAGGUUGGCCGGCCACAUUGGGACUGAGACACGGCCCAAACUCCUACGGGAGGCAGCAGUGGGGAAUAUUGCACAAUGGGGGAAACCCUGAUGCAGCGACGCCGCGUGAGUGAAGAAGUAUCUCGGUACGUAAAGCUCUAUCAGCAGGGAAGAAAAUGACGGUACCUGACCAAGAAGCCCCGGCUAACUACGUGCCAGCAGCCGCGGUAAUACGUAGGGGGCAAGCGUUAUCCGGAUUUACU
rnacentral:rRNA from 1 species